rnacentral:rRNA from 1 species
UGGGGAAUAUUGGACAAUGGGCGAAAGCCUGAUCCAGCAAUGCCGCGUGAGUGAUGAAGGCCUUAGGGUUGUAAAGCUCUUUUACCCGGGAUGAUAAUGACAGUACCGGGAGAAUAAGCUCCGGCUAACUCCGUGCCAGCAGCCGCGGUAAUACGGAGGGAGCUAGCGUUGUUCGGAAUUACUGGGCGUAAAGCGCGCGUAGGCGGUUUUUUAAGUCAGAGGUGAAAGCCCGGGGCUCAACCCCGGAAUUGCCUUUGAAACUGGAAAACUUGAAUCUUGGAGAGGUCAGUGGAAUUCCGAGUGUAGAGGUGAAAUUCGUAGAUAUUCGGAAGAACACCAGUGGCGAAGGCGACUGACUGGACAAGUAUUGACGCUGAGGUGCGAAAGCGUGGGGAGCAAACA